GAUGAACGCUGGCGGCGUGCCUAAUACAUGCAAGUCGAGCGAACAGAUGAGGAGCUUGCUCCUCUGACGUUAGCGGCGGACGGGUGAGUAACACGUGGAUAGCCUACCUAUAAGACUGGGAUAACUUCGGGAAACCGGAGCUAAUACCGGAUAAUAUAUUGAACCGCAUGGUUCAAUAGUGAAAGACGGUUUUGCUGUCACUUAUAGAUGGAUCCGCGCCGCAUUAGCUAGUUGGUAAGGUAACGGCUUACCAAGGCAACGAUGCGUAGCCGACCUGAGAGGGUGAUCGGCCACACUGGAACUGAGACACGGUCCAGACUCCUACGGGAGGCAGCAGUAGGGAAUCUUCCGCAAUGGGCGAAAGCCUGACGGAGCAACGCCGCGUGAGUGAUGAAGGUCUUCGGAUCGUAAGACUCUGUUAUUAGGGAAGAACAAAUGUGUAAGUAACUAUGCACGUCUUGACGGUACCUAAUCAGAAAGCCACGGCUAACUACGUG
rnacentral:rRNA from 1 species